AACAUCUUCUCUUGUUUUUKAUAUGAGAUUUAUCCUGCCCAGUGAUAUUGUUUUAAAUGGCCGCGGUAUCUUGACCGUGCAAAGGUAGCAUAAUCAUUAGUUCAUUAAUUGUGGACUUGUAUGAAUGGUUUCAUGAAAUAUUAACUGUCUCUAUAAUAUUAAUAUAAUUUAACUUUUUAGUUAAAAGGCUUAAAUUUAUUUAUGGGACGAGAAGACCCUAUAGAUCUUUAUUUAUUAAAUUAUUUAUUUAUUUGGUUAAUUUUAUUUAAGUUAUUUAUUUAAUUUUGUUGGGGUGACAUUGAGAUAUAAAAAACUCUUUAUUGUUUUUACAUUAAUUUAUGUUUUAUUAAAUUUUUAUUAUUUUAUUUAGAAUUAGAUACCUUAGGGAUAACAGCGUAAUUUGAUUUGAGAGUUCUUAUUGACAAUUAAGAUUGCGACCUCGAUGUUGGAUUAAGAAAUAUUUUUGAUGUAGAAGUUUUAGUAAUUAGGUCUGUUCGACCUUUAAAUUCUUC
rnacentral:rRNA from 1 species